AAGUUAAUGGGAUAGUGUUGCCAGCAAGUUUUCCAUUUACUCAUGUGACUUGUCUCCUGGAAUAGUUAUGAAUGACAGGAUGAACCAACCAGCUAAUGAAGAUGGGACAUGACUAGAAGGACUACUAGCAAGUGCUAUACUGUGUAAUAUUUUUGGAGUGGAGAUGUCAGAGCAAGUUCUGGAUCUGCUUCUGAGACUGACUUUCAGCAGUUUUCUCAAAGCAGAGUUUCAUCUAAGCAACAAUGAAGGAAGCCUUCAAUUUCAAAUUCUCGGGGGGAUUCAAAUACUUUCUGAGAAAAAGGGUGGCUGUUCCAGGCAUGAAAUGAAUGCUGUGCUUAGCAACAAGUCAAUGCACUCUAAAGUUCUUGCAAAGGAAAACAAUUUUAUGAAGGUUCCUAAGGUGAAGUACUGUGAACAAUACAUUAAUAUGUAUUUUCCCCUAAAUACUUCUGGUUCUCUUUUCCACUUUUCUGGUGUUAUCUUUAGCAGUUAAUGGCCAUACUUCUAUCUGGUCCCAUAUCAUUAAUUUUGAUCAGAUGUUUUCUCCUCUCAGGUCCCAUAAGUGAAAAAUUCCAAACACAAUGCCUAGAUUAGCACAAAAAAGCUAGCACAUAAAGUACAAUCUUUUAAAUAAUCACAGUCAGUAACAGUAAUGCUAAUAAGAUGCCAUGAUAACAAUAAUAAUAAUAAUAACAUUAAGAAGUCUUACCUUCCAAUAAAACUUGUUGCUUUCAAAACGACCUCA
rnacentral:lncRNA from 1 species